GGUGUUGCAUGGCUGUCGUCAGCUCGUGUCGUGAGAUGUUGGGUUAAGUCCCGCAACGAGCGCAACCCUCAUCCUUAGUUACCAUCAGGUAAUGCUGGGGACUUUAAGGAAACUGCCAGUGAUAAACUGGAGGAAGGUGGGGAUGAUGUCAAGUCAUCAUGGCCCUUAUGGAGUGGGCUACACACGUGCUACAAUGGUGGCUACAAUGGGCUGCAAAGUCGCGAGGCUAGGCUAAUCCCUUAAAAGCCAUCUCAGUUCGGAUUGUACUCUGCAACUCGAGUGCAUGAAGGUGGAAUCGCUAGUAAUCGCGGAUCAGCACGCCACGGUGAAUACGUUCCCGGGUCUUGUACACACC
rnacentral:rRNA from 1 species